rnacentral:rRNA from 1 species
UACAGAGGGUGCGAGCGUUAAUCGGAAUUACUGGGCGUAAAGCGCGCGUAGGCGGCUUUGCAAGUCGGGUGUGAAAUCCCCAGGCCUAACCUGGGAACUGCAUUCGAGACUGCAUGGCUAGAGUAUCGGAGAGGGAAGCGGAAUUCCGGGUGUAGCGGUGGAAUGCGUAGAGAUCCGGAAGAACACCGGAGGCGAAGGCGGCUUGCUGGGCGUAGUCUGACGCUGAGGCGCGAAAGCGUGGGGAGCGAACAGG